rnacentral:tRNA from 1 species
GCGGAUGUGGCGAAAUUGGCAUACGCACCAGACUUAGGAUCUAGUUCGAAAGAGUGGGGGUUCAAGUCCUCUCAUCCGCACCA